UACGUAGGGAGCAAGCGUUGUUCGGAAUCACUGGGCGUAAAGGGCGCGUAGGCGGCUUUAUAAGUCGGGGGUGAAAGCCUGUGGCUCAACCACAGAAUUGCCUUCGAUACUGUAGAGCUUGAGACCGGAAGAGGUAAGUGGAACUGCGAGUGUAGAGGUGAAAUUCGUAGAUAUUCGCAAGAACACCAGUGGCGAAGGCGGCUUACUGGUCCGGUUCUGACGCUGAGGCGCGAAAGCGUGGGGAGCAAACAGG
rnacentral:rRNA from 1 species